AGCCUCAUUCAGUUGUAUUAUUGCAGCCAAUGAGGUUUAUCUGAGGUGCCAUGACUGCUUGUUGAAAACUUAAGUAGCUAGCUCUGUGAGAACAUUAUAUAUAUAUUAGAUACACAUGUGCAGAUACAUAUUCACAUGUAGGAAAGUGUGUAAAUAUAUAUGAAUU
rfam:Erinaceus europaeus unplaced genomic scaffold scaffold00347, whole genome shotgun sequence